rnacentral:lncRNA from 1 species
GUUCACUAAACGGUAAAAGACUCUUAUGCCCUUGUUCUUUUUAUAUAUAAUAAAUAAAAAAAUCCAAAAAAAUAAAAAAUAAUUUUUUUACUUUUUCUCGAAUUAUACUAUUUCGAAAUUUAAACCCUAAACCCUAAAACUCAACUCUAAACCCUAAACCAUCAAUCCUAAACCCUUUUUUUUUUAAACAUGAACCCUAAACCCUGAAACAUGAACUCUAAACCCUAAACCCCGAGACAUCAACUCUAAGCCCUAAACCCUAAACCCUGAAACAUGAACUCUAAACCCUACACCCC